AUGGAGAAGCUCGGCGCUCGAGGUAUCCAUGGUGGUUUGCUGAAGGGAGUGGAGAACCAACUUGUUGGAAUUAUGGGGACGAAGAAUUGGUUUGCCGAGGGCAGUGGAGAACCAAUUGUUGGACUUGCGGAGGAGAAGAAUGAGGGGGCGGCGGCGGCGGAGCACGGCGAGGGAGCGGAAGGCAGGUGUCCAUGGCUGUCCAGAAAAAUCAGGAAGGUGUGGUCAGGAGUUGUCGACAGGUGUGUUUGGAUGAGGAGAGAUAAGGUCUGCAUAGAGGAAAAAGAAGGACGGUGCGUGGGACCUGCUGUAAGUGUCAAGCGGUAUGUAGCGAGCGCUGCAUGCUAG
rnacentral:rRNA from 1 species